UAGACAUCAUGAGGAACAACAUGCAAAAAACCACACCUCAUUUGGAUCAUCCAUUAUUGAGUUAUAAAUUUUUGAAUGAAUGAAAAAAAAAUAAAAAAAGACAUGAAAGCAUGGCAUGAAUGGAUAUGGAAGCAAAGAAUAAAAUGAAAAGGCAAUAUGUGGAAAUGUCUCAGCCAAGGAUCGAUCCGUGUGGAAAUUUGAAUUGAGCGCGCCAGUUAAGUGAAACG
rnacentral:lncRNA from 1 species